ncrna:unclassified sequences S4-Flavobacteria ribosomal protein leader
GUUUGUCGGAGGAUAAGAUUAAGACCUUAAUUCACAAAC